rnacentral:rRNA from 1 species
AUUGAACGCUGGCGGCAUGCCUUACACAUGCAAGUCGAACGGCAGCACGGGAGCAAUCCUGGUGGCGAGUGGCGAACGGGUGAGUAAUAUAUCGGAACGUGCCCAGUCGUGGGGGAUAACGUAGCGAAAGCUACGCUAAUACCGCAUACGAUCUAUGGGAUGAAAGCGGGGGGAUCGCAAGACCUCGCGCGAUUGGAGCGGGCCGAUAUCAGAUUAAGUAGUUGGUGAGGUAAAGGCUCACCAAGCCGACGAUCUGUAGCUGGUCUGAGAGGACGACAG